AGUGACGUAUUCCAUAGGAUCAUUUCUAUAGGACAUGUCUCUCAUGACUUCUUAAAAGAAGCCACUUAUUCAAACUUGGUUGAUGAGAUAGAACCUGCAAACCCCAGAGUGAGAACACAUUUGUUUGAUUGUUUGUCCUUGUGACUCAGUCAUCUUAUUAUUCCCGGCGCGCAAGCGUUCAAGGAGCGAUGAUCUUGUCCCUUUGUUUGAGCCUCUCUGGAGGAGUGACUUCGGGUGGGUUUGUAUGGCAGUCUGACAAGU
rnacentral:snoRNA from 12 species